rnacentral:lncRNA from 1 species
AUUUGCUUUUUCUUCUUCUAAUAAUAAAGUCUAUCUGUUAUAAUCCUUUUUUUUUCUCUCUUUUAAGGCAAUUAUUAAAUCAAAUACAUGACCCAAAACUGGUGUUUUUCUAAAUUGAAUCCUAACUAAAAAGAACACAGAUAACAUGUCAAAAGAGAAUCACACACCUCAAUUCAAAGGUUAGAUUAAUGCACAAAAAUCCCUCUUAAGCUCCCAAGAAGAUUAUAUAAAUUUUCUAGCCUCACAAAAUUCUUUCUACUCUUCCUCGUCAUCGUCUUCUUCAGGAGCCUCUUUUAGCCACUAAAGAAGAAAAAAAACAAAUUAAUGGCUUAAAUAAGAAACUAAUGAAUCUAAUGGGAGAGCUGUGAAGAAGAAAGUAACAUAAGCUUUGUAAGUGUGUAAAAAUAGAUGAAGAUAUAUACUUACUUGAAUAAAAGUUUGUGCUUGCUUAACAAAUACUUUAUCCGACUCAUCUGCUUCUUUCUUCUCAUCUUCCCAACUCAAAAUAGCAUCUUCUUCUAUAAUAUCUUCAUUAUACAUGUAAUGCAAAAUUUGAAAGAAAUUAACAAGUCAAAACAAAAGGAAGGGAAAGUCGAAUGUCGUGUUUGAAUGUGAAACUGUUGACUCCAAUCGUUUUAACAAUGAGGUAAUCC